rnacentral:rRNA from 1 species
AUUGAACGCUGGCGGCAGGCCUAACACAUGCCAGUCGAACGGUAACAGGAAGAAGCUUGCUUCUUUGCUGACGAGUGGCGGACGUGUGAGUAAUGUCUGGGAAACUGCCUGAUGGAGGGGGAUAACUACUGGAAACGGUAGCUAAUACCGCAUAACGUCGCAAGACCAAAGAGGGGGACCUUCGGGCCUCUUGCCAUCGGAUGUGCCCAGAUGGGAUUAGCUAGUAGGUGGGGUAACGGCUCACCUAGGCGACGAUCCCUAGCUGGUCUGAGAGGAUGACCAGCCACACUGGAACUGAGACACGGUCCAGACUCCUACGGGAGGCAGCAGUGGGGAAUAUUGCACAAUGGGCGCAAGCCUGAUGCAGCCAUGCCGCGUGUAUGAAGAAGGCCUUCGGGUUGUAAAGUACUUUCAGCGGGGAGGAAGGGAGUAAAGUUAAUACCUUUACUCAUUGACGUUACCCGCAGAAGAAGCACCGGCUAACUCCGUG